CCACCUAUCUCAUGAUGAAAAAAAGAGGCUUAUGGCAUGGAAAAGAAAAACAAAAUAGGGCAUGCGGCAUGGUGAUUGGAGUGAGGUUGUUGGGCACCUCUUCUCUUCUUUCUUACAACCAAAGAUUGGUUGUUAGGUAUCCUCUUAUCUCUCUCCUUUGUCCAAGAGUUGGACAUGCCUUGUCUCUCUCCUUUUUCUCCACAGAUGUCUAAGAGUUGGAUAAAAAGAAAAAAGAUUUGAGCUCUUGAUUCCUUCUCCUUCAUGAUC
rnacentral:lncRNA from 1 species